ACUAUCCUUAACAGUUACAUACAUGUUAGUGUUAAAGUAUUUAAUAAGUCUCGACAAAGUUAUUACGACUCUGAAUUCGUCAUUACCUUCGCCGAUACUUUUACUAUCGACAAGCGAUUGAUUUCACGAUUCAUAUAAUAUUUACGAUAGCAAUGACAUUUCGCGUUUGGCGUUUGUUCAGUUGCCCGUGGAAUUCUGUGCGGGAACGACGGCGCGAGAAGUUGCAAGAACAACAAACCGACCGUGAAAAGACGAAAACACAAGGAUUCCCAAAAUUUUUCCAAGGCGAUAUAGAGAAAAUAAGAGAGACGAGGAGACUUCGAGCGAUACACCGCAUGGUCGGAAUCGUCGAAUGGGAAAUCACCGAGUAUAAAUAGAAGAUGACUCGCGGUCUGGACUCGCUUGGACACCGUCAGUCGAUGAUCAUACUUUAGCAUCGCUAAGUGGGUAUCGAUACAGCAGUACUUCGUUAACUGGCCACGAUCCGCAACCUUAUCUGGCCAGUUAUCGAGAAACAUAAUGCCAGAGGUACACAACGAAAUCAGUAUCAAGAGUUGGUGGGGAUAGCGAUAGCCAGCUAGAGAAGUGAAAUGGCGAACAAUUAACGUGACAUUACUGUACAUCUCUGAUAGAUCUAUAUAUGCGUAAAAAUGUACACGCAUCAAAUAAGGUAUCCGGUUCAUCCUUGGAGCAUCGUUCCGCAUGUUCCAAAAAUAACUAAGGCCAGAUGUGUCAUAUUACACUUAUAUGUAUGAAACAUA